AUGGCGACAGUUGGUGUCUUUAACGAACAUGCAUUGGCAAUAUAUUUAUAAAAUUCCUUGAAGAUAAGCGCUAGAUAGGAGCGUAAGAGCAUUGUUUUAAACGUUUGUGAUCUUUUGUUGUAGAAAGUGCAUUCAAGAAAUUGUGAACAGAUAACUGUAUGAAAUAAUUCGCAUGAUAUGUAGCUUCAGUUUGACCUUUCUUGGCAUGCUUUCAUCAUCAUGACAUGAGAGAGUAAAGUGGUGCAGCCAAGACUUCUACUGCAAUUAUGAGCUGCAAAAGGGACGUCAGGAUCCUCCUUGUUGGAGAUCCUGGUGUUGGGAAGACGUCAUUGAUAUUGUCCCUGGUUAGUGAAGAAUUUCCAGAGGAGGUGCCAUCAAAAGCAGAGGAGAUAACAAUACCUGCUGAUGUUACUCCUGAGAAAGUACCGACACAUAUUGUUGACUACAGUUCACAAGAACAAGACGAAGACCGACUUCAGGAGGAGCUUGAUAAGGCCAAUGUUGUGUGUAUUGUAUAUUCUGUGGAUGAUGAAGAUUCCAUAGAGCGGAUCACCACAUUCUGGCUGCCGUACUUACGUUCUUGUUUGGGGGAGGAUCAUCGAACACCAGUCAUUUUGGUGGGAAACAAAACCGAUUUGCUUGACUUCAGCACAAUGGAGACAAUGAUGCCAAUCAUGAAUGACUUUGCUGAAGUGGAGACUUGUGUGGAGUGCUCAGCAAGGACACUUAAAAAUAUUAGUGAGAUGUUUUACUAUGCACAAAAGGCUGUGCUUCAUCCUACUGCGGCUGUAUAUAAUCCAGAGGAAAAGGAGCUGACACCACAAUGCAAAAAAGCCCUAACCAGAAUAUUUAAGAUAUGUGACCUUGACAACGACUCUAUACUCAAAGACGAUGAAGUUCAUUUAUUCCAAAGAAAAUGUUUCAAUGCCCCUCUUCAACCUCAAGCCCUAGAGGACGUCAAGUCUAUAGUGAGGAGGAAUAUCGCAGACGGCAUCAUAGAUAAUGGAAUCACACUCAAAGGAUUCCUUUUCCUACACACACUGUUUAUACAGCGGGGACGACACGAGACCACCUGGACAGUCCUCAGGUCAUUUGGCUAUGACGAUUGUGUUCAACUCUCCAAAGAGUUCCUCUCACCAAGGGUACAAACUGCAUUGGGCUCUACAACAGAACUGUCCACACAAGGAAUCCAGUUCCUCAAGAUGAUAUUUGACAAGUAUGAUGAUGACCGAGACGGCUGCCUGUCUCCCACAGAGCUACAGAAUCUCUUUAGUACAUGUCCGGUGAUGCCCUGGGGAUCCGAUGUCAACAACACAGUUUGUACAAACCACAACAACUGGAUCACACUGCAGGGCUACCUCGCUCAGUGGGGAUUAACCACACUACUAGAUGUACCCAGGACAGUAGAAUAUUUAGCUUAUUUAGGAUACCAUUAUCAUCAUGACAAUCAACUCUCGGCAAUAACAGUAACGAGAGACAAAAAGAUCGACUUAGAUAAAAAGCAAACCAGUCGAAAUGUGUUCAGGUGUUACGUACUGGGGGCCAAAGGUGUUGGCAAGAGUACAUUUUUACAAGGUCAUUUAGGCAGAAACCUGAGAUAUAUAGCAACACUGAAUAAAGAGCACUUGUCAAGUUUUACUAUAAAUACAGUUCAAGUUUACGGACAAGAAAAGUAUUUAUUGCUACAUGAGGUGGAUGUUUCUGUAUGUGACAUGUUAAACCCGACCGAGAUGAAUUGUGAUGUGGCUUGUUUAGUGUACGACUCUACCAACCCUCGAAGCUUUGAAUUCUGUGCUAGAAUGUACCUGAAACACUUUAUGGAUAGCCGAAUUCCCACACUGGUGGUGGCUGCGAAGACAGAAUACCAAGCAGUGCGUCAGGACUACGAAAUCACACCCGCUCAGUUCUGUAGCAAGUUCAAGAUCCCGCCACCUCAGAGCUUUUCUGCCAUUGAUAAAGUGAACCGGGAAGUGUACAUCAAACUGGCGACGAUGGCUGCCUACCCCCACGUGAAGGACAUUGUGAUGAAGGAAGAGAAUGUGUACCUACGUGUCGGGAUAGGUGUGGCUGUUCUAGCUGGCGUAGGGUUUGUGAUGUACAAGGUUUUACGACGGAGUUCCUAGUCUACGGCUCAUAUAACAGUAUUAUACUGGACAAACAAAGGUGAAUGUUGUAGCACCUUCCUAAUGGACAAAAUGAAAUUUCAGAGGGUACUUCACACAGCAUGUUAUGGAGUUCACAAAAUUGGACAUUGGUGGAGUCGACCUACAUAAAUUGGCACGGAUUUGAUAUUUAGAUAUUGAAUGUAAACUUCUGAAUAUCUGCUGGCAUUGUUGUGAUAUUUGGAUGUAGAACACCUGAACAGUAAAUAAGGACAUCAAUUAAAAAAAUGAAUAUAUUUUUAGAUGCUGAGUGAUCUGAUAUCGAAUGUGUACAACUAAAUAUCUGUGGAUAUGCUUAAACAUAUCUGGACGUAGGUGAAGUACUUAGGUGUUGAACGUGAACGUGGAGUGAUGAUCCCUGUUGAGUAGAGAGCACUGCUGAAUGCUAUAUCUGACUAGUGUGGUGUUAUACUGUGGUGACCCUUAGGCACCAGUUCAACCUGUUAACAUUGGUAAUUGUCUCCCUUGAAAGCUACCAUUUUCUUAAUCAUGAUUCGCAGGAGGGAAUAUUCAUACGAUUAUGGUCAUUUGUUGGCUUUGUGCAUGUUUUAGUAAAGUCAAAGUACUUUGUACUUGGUAUAUUGCACAAUAUUUAUUAUUGAGGGGAACAAGUUAUGGAAACUUUUGUGAUACAGAUCAUAACACAUGUGUAAAAUAAAUGUUUGUGACAAGACAGUUCAUACAUGUAUAUAUGCAUGUGUUCUGUAUUUAAUACAGGCAGAUGGAAAGUGAAAAUAUCACAGAAAUUUCACUUUUCAUCCAGCUAUUGAAAGAAGAAAGUGUUUCUUCUCUUAUCUAGAACUAUAAAUAAUUAAUUUAUAUCUACUGCAAGUCCUACUUGAACUCUUGCUAUCGAAAGAAAUUGAAUCAAUAGGGUUAGGAUCACAAUUUGUUAGCAUCCUUAGGAUUCUUUGCCUUAUACUCUUAUUUCAAAGAAUUUGAAGAGCCAAACAUUUAUAAGGAUUAAUCAAUAACAUAUACCUACAUAUUAUUAUAAACUACUUUUAAAUGUUAGAUAUCUUCAAAUUAAUUCUAUUUACAUGUUUGGCCUCUGUAGUUAUAAAUCCCAAUCAGCACAUUAACUUUGUAUUACCUAGCUGAAAAAAAUUAUAUACAUGUAUUGUUUCUUGAUCAAGAACAGUAUGAUAGUUAACCCUUUCAACCCUAAGAAACUUUAGUAGACUCUUCCAUUCAUUCAUUAUUUGGAGUCCAAUAUAAUCAGUAGGGGUGAAAGGGUUCAGAUAUGCAAGUCAACCAAUUGUUUGAACUAGAAUAUUUGAAUUUGGUGUAUGGUUUAAUAUUUAAUUUUACUAGCGGAUCAUUUGGUCAUGACCAAGUUUUUAUUUAUAAACCUCAUAAAUCGGCAGUAAUUUCAAGAGCAUGUGGUGAGCUUUGGGGGAUUUGUACAAAGGCUUGUGUGCAUGUAAGCCAUACUGGUGAGUGUGAUGAUCCAUAUAACAUUAACCAAGAUUCCAAGAAACCAAUUCACAGAUAUGUUCUUUCUAUCAAUACUCCAUGUUUUACGUUUGUGGACAUGUUUGACAUGCCUGUGUGUGUGACGUGUUAGUAUAAAAAGAUACAUGUUCUUGUGUUAAUAUACCUUACAGCGUAUUUGGAUUACAUAUUUAUUGUUUAGCUUGUGUUACAUGUAUAAGUAUUUAGAUAUAUUUUAUCGUCUAAAUAGAGAGUUAUCUCCCCUUAGGUUACUUAAGUUCAGUACACUACAGUGUAUAGAGAAAAAAAUCAACCCCGAUUGCAAUAUUGGUUUUUAAAAAAUCAAUUAUGACACAAUAAAAGCAUGUUAUCCUAUUUUCAAAUACAAAUUUUACUAUGUUGCUGAUAUAAAUUAGUAUAAGGCGGACAUUAUUCAUACAGGUGUUAUGAAAAUAAGGGGAAAUACAAAUCUACAGUAUAUUCUGUUGGUAAAAUUUUCAAGACUGAUGUGUCCGAUUUAAACGGGUCAUUUACGAGAUUAUGCCAUGUGCAAUCUAGUCUUUGGAGAUUUGAAAUCACAUUACAUGUCAUUUCCCUGAUGUUUGAAUGGCUGAUUGAAUGGGUUACGGAGCGCAGUGUAAAAUGAUACUUCAUAAAAGAAUGUCCCUGUAAGUUGGUAAACAGGGCAUUCACAUAAUUCUACCAUUAUUUCAAAACUUCUGGUCAUGUUCAUUACACUACAUCCAACUCUUAAGAAUGUUUAUUUGUCAGAGUGCUGGCCACAUAACCUCUGGUGAGGAUCCGAGGUGUGUGGUUCAACACUCCUUACUCGUGUCGGUUUGGGUUUCUUGGGAAGCUGAGAACCCGGCUUGUCUGUGAUGUUGUGGUUGUGUCCUUUGGCAAGACACUUUACCCUGAUUGCUCUGGAUGGCAUGAAACAAGCUUCCCAUAUGUUGUUCUGUGAGGUAGUCACCAACUACUACAAGGAGACCCUGCCUCAAAAUGACCAUGGCUGUUCACAGAGUGAUAGACCCAGCAAGCAAACAAACAAAUAUCUGUCAGUAUUUGGUAUUAAUCACAAAUAUGUUAGUUUAAUGUUUUAUUUGAAAUCUCUGAUGUUGUAAUUAGGAUUUUCAAACAUCUGGGUUACUUGGAUUUGAGAAAAGAUUCCACUAACAUUCAAAGUUGAAGUGGAAUUUUUAUUGAACUUUUGGGAUCAAACCAUUCUUUAUGACAUGUCAAUUCAACAUCAUUGACACCAUUACAUAAUCUACAGUAACAGUUGUCAUAGAGGCUUGUAUGCAAAUCAGAAAUGUGCAGACGGUGUAUUGUCAAUGUUGUACUGUCUAGAAUUAUUUUCAUUGACCAAUCAAAUUCCACGUUACAUCUCAAAUGAAUUAGAAAAAGGAGUAGGGGUUCUUUUGUCAGUAAAGUAUCCUGAUAAUAUAAUUUUUUCGAUGGAUGGGCAUGUUUUCUGAGUAUAAUUUCGGAUCAACUUUUUACCUUGGGUUGUACAAGAAUAAAAUAAUGUUGAUAUUCUGAUCUUCAUGAUUAAAUUUUGCUCACCAUUAAUGAAUCAAAAUUUGUGGCAUGGUUUUGAUGUGAAAUGAAAUAUUUUACUGUUUAUCUAUAGAUCACAGACAGUGUAUGGAACAGCUCAGCCACAAUAUAAAGUCUCAGGAUUUUACAUAUUAGCUAGUUAACAUACAUGGCAUGUUAGUAAAGAAUACUUAAAUUAUAUAGGACUUUUAACUAAUAGUUGACAGAUUCAGUCUUACCGUAAUUGUCAACCCCAGCAUCAGACUGAUCCGAUUCCCUAUAAACUUCAUUUUAAUGAAUAACAGUAAUUAAAGAAAACGGUAUCAUCUGUAUCUGUUAUUUUCCUUUACAUUCAUUUGAUUUUGAUUUUUACUAGACUGAGUGUUUCGGUGAUAGUUACAGUGUGUUUGGGAAGAGAUAUCUCAAAAGUUUUGAUUGUGUGAUAUUGCAUACAGUUUUCACACACCUAGUCCAUGAAUACAGUGUCGGCAUAAUCUGUUCCAACAAUGUUUCAACAUACUGUGUCUGCAUAGUCUGUUUAUACAAUGUUACAACAUACUGUGUCUGUAUAGUCUGUUCAUACAAUGUUACAACAUACAUUGUCGGCAUAGUCUGUUCAUACAAUGUUACAACAUACUGUGUCUGUAUAGUCUGUUCAUACAAUGUUACAACAUACUGUGUCUGCAUAGUCUGUUUAUAUAAUGUAACAACAUACUGUGUCUGUAUAGUCUGUUCAUACAAUGUUACAACAUACAUUGUCGACAUAGUCUGUUUAUACAAUGUUACAACAUACUGUGUCUGCAUAGUCUGUUUAUACAAUGUUACAACAUACUGUGUCAGCAUAGUCUGUUCAUACAAUGUUACAACAUACUGUGUCAGCAUAGUCUGUUCAUACAAUGUUACAACAUACAUUGUCAGCAUAGUCUGUUUAUACAAUGUUACAACAUUCAUUGUCAGCAUAGUCUGUUUAUACAAUGUUACAACAUACAUUGUCGGAAUAGUCUGUUCAUACAAUGUUACAACAUACAUUGUCGGCAUAGUCUGUUUAUACAAUGUUACAACAUACAUUGUCGGCAUAGUCUGUUCAUACAAUUUUACAAGAUACAUUUACAUUGCCUACAUACAUAAAAUCUUUAGUGUCAUUACAUGAAAUGUCAUUCCAUACUAUGUAUCUGCAUUUUAAUAUAACUAAAUGUUACUGUACUCAAUGCAAUUAAGUGACUUGCCAGUAUUUUGUAUGAUUGGGUCAUCUGUCACCUAUAACCAAACCACUACAACCUCAGGGGCUUGAUACAUUCCUACGACCCAGAAUGAAAAAUUAACCCCCUUGUCCGAUCCCUGUGAUCUAGGGAUAGGACCCUGGGGUUAAUUUUUCAUGGGUCAUUGGAAGGUAUUAAGCCCCUGUGCCUACACCCACAUGCUACUUAUGUCAAAAGCAGUAAAAACAAAUUACAGAUGACUUGAUUGAUAUCAUUAGUUAAUACUCUUGUAUCACAUAGGCCCGCCAUAUCACUUAUACAUACUCAAUUAAAACAGUUGUUUUAAGACACAAAAGUAACAAUAUUUAUUGUGGUCUUUAUAUUAAGGUAUUUUGGAUUUAUUCUGCUGGGUAAAACAAGGAUUUUUUUUCUCUAAUUGCAGCCUUAAUUGCUCCUUUUUGAUACUGUAUAUGUGUUAUUGGAUGUUCACAGGGAUCGGACAGGAGUUACCAGUUCAGUACAUGUAUAUAUAUUAUCAUUUUUGAUAAAGAUUCAUAAUUAAAGUGUCAUUAUUAUGUGAAUGCUUUACAUAAAUUGACUGCAACAACAGGAAAUUGUAUUUCCUCUGUUGGCAAAAUUCAAUCCUAAAAUUAUAUCAUGGUUUUGAAUCUUCAGAAAUUUUAAUUUUUGUACUGUAAAAAUAACGACGUUUGUGAAUCAAUGUCCUUAACAUCUUUUCUGGUCCCUGUGAAUGUGGUUAUGACUGCAGUCCAAUAUUCUGGGAUCUGGUCGACUCUUUUCUGGUGGAUGUUACACCUGAGGUUAUGUCUGAUCGCAUGAUGGAUGAUGGUAAUUCCUAUAUACAGUACUAGUGUGCAUGUGAGGAGAGAGGUUGUUUGUUUAGGAUGAAGUGAGAGAGGGAGGGAGGGAGAGAGAGAGAGAUUGAGAAAAGAGAUGUGUCAUGUGAAACAGCUAUGGAUGUUAUCACAGAUUGUCCAGAUUGUGAAAUACAAAAACAGUAUUCCUCUUUUAAAUACAGUACAUGUCUUAACUUUA